UCAUAUCGCUUUUACUGUAUU
rnacentral:piRNA from 1 species